rnacentral:tRNA from 1 species
AAAUUUAGGUUCACAAAACCAAGGGCCUUCAAAGCCCUAAACAGGGACCACCCCCUAAUUUCUG